rnacentral:rRNA from 1 species
AGAGUUUGAUCCUGGCUCAGGAUGAACGCUAGCUACAGGCUUAACACAUGCAAGUCGAGGGGAAACGAUAUUGGAAGCCUGCUUCCGAUAGGCGUCGACCGGCGCACGGGUGAGUAACGCGUAUCCAACCUGCCCAUCACUUGGGGAUAACCUUGCGAAAGUAAGACUAAUACCCAAUGACGUCUCUAGAAGACAUCUGAAGGAGAUUAAAGAUUUAUCGGUGAUGGAUGGGGAUGCGUCUGAUUAGCUUGUUGGCGGGGUAACGGCCCACCAAGGCAACGAUCAGUAGGGGUUCUGAGAGGAAGGUCCCCCACAUUGGAACUGAGACACGGUCCAAACUCCUACGGGAGGCAGCAGUGAGGAAUAUUGGUCAAUGGGCGAGAGCCUGAACCAGCCAAGUAGCGUGCAGGAAGACGGCCCUAUGGGUUGUAAACUGCUUUUAUAAGGGAAUAAAGUGAGUCUCGUGAGACUUUUUGCAUGUACCUUAUGAAUAAGGACCGGCUAAUUCCGUGCCAGCAGCCGCGGUAAUACGGAAGGUCCGGGCGUUAUCCGGAUUUAUUGGGUUUAAAGGGAGCGUAGGCCGGAGAUUAAGCGUGUUGUGAAAUGUAGACGCUCAACGUCUGCACUGCAGCGCGAACUGGUUUCCUUGAGUACGCACAAAGUGGGCGGAAUUCGUGGUGUAGCGGUGAAAUGCUUAGAUAUCACGAAGAACUCCGAUUGCGAAGGCAGCUCACUGGAGCGCAACUGACGCUGAAGCUCGAAAGUGCGGGUAUCGAACAGGAUUAGAUACCCUGGUAGUCCGCACGGUAAACGAUGGAUGCCCGCUGUUGGUCUGAACAGGUCAGCGGCCAAGCGAAAGCAUUAAGCAUCCCACCUGGGGAGUACGCCGGCAACGGUGAAACUCAAAGGAAUUGACGGGGGCCCGCACAAGCGGAGGAACAUGUGGUUUAAUUCGAUGAUACGCGAGGAACCUUACCCGGGCUUGAAUUGCAGAGGAAGGAUUUGGAGACAAUGACGCCCUUCGGGGUCUCUGUGAAGGUGCUGCAUGGUUGUCGUCAGCUCGUGCCGUGAGGUGUCGGCUUAAGUGCCAUAACGAGCGCAACCCCUCUCCUUAGUUGCCAUCAGGUUAAGCUGGGCACCCUGGGGACACUGCCACCGUAAGGUGUGAGGAAGGUGGGGAUGACGUCAAAUCAGCACGGCCCUUACGUCCGGGGCUACACACGUGUUACAAUGGCAGGUACAGAGAG